GACGAACGCUGGCGGCGUGCUUAACACAUGCAAGUCGAACGGAAAGGCCCUGCUUGCUUGGUACUCGAGUGGCGAACGGGUGAGUAACACGUGGGUGAUCCGCCCUGUACUUUGGGAUAAGGCUGGGAGACUGGGUCUAUUACCGGAUAGGAGCCAUCUUUAGUGUGAUGGUUGGAAAGUUUUUUGGGUUUAGGAGGAGCGCGCGGCCUUUCAGCUUGUUGGUUGGGUAAUGGCCUACCAAGGCGGCGACGGGUAGCAGGCCGGGGAGGGUGGGCGGCCACAAUGGGACCGGGAGACAGGCCAGACUGCCACGGGAGGGAGCAGGGGGGAAAAUUUGACCAAGGGCGCCAGCCUGGUGCAAGGACGCCGGCGGGGGGAAAACCGCCUUUGGGGUGUAAAAACGUUUCGCUGGGGACGAAGCUUUGUGUGACGGUAACUAGAAAAGAAGCACCGGCUAACUACGUG
rnacentral:rRNA from 1 species